CAGCACCUCAAGUGGUCAGGAUGAUUAUUGGGCCUAAAGCAUCCGUAGCCGGCUCUGUAAGUUUUCGGUUAAAUCUGUACGCUCAACGUACAGGCUGCCGGGAAUACUGCAGAGCUAGGGAGUGGGAGAGGUAGACGGUACUCGGUAGGAAGGGGUAAAAUCCUUUGAUCUAUUGAUGACCACCUGUGGCGAAGGCGGUCUACCAGAACAAGUCCGACGGUGAGGGAUGAAAGCUGGGGGAGCAAACCGGAUUAGAUACCCGUGUAGUCC
rnacentral:rRNA from 1 species